rnacentral:rRNA from 1 species
GAUGAACGCUGGCGGCGUGCCUAAUACAUGCGAGUCGAGCGAACAGACGAGGAGCUUGCUCCUCUGACGUUAGCGGCGGACGGGUGAGUAACACGUGGAUAACCUACCUAUAAGACUGGGAUAACUUCGGGAAACCGGAGCUAAUACCGGAUAAUAUAUUGAACCGCAUGGUUCAAUAGUGAAAGACGGUUUUGCUGUCACUUAUAGAUGGAUCCGCGCCGCAUUAGCUAGUUGGUAAGGUAACGGCUUACCAAGGCAACGAUGCGUAGCCGACCUGAGAGGGUGAUCGGCCACACUGGAACUGAGACACGGUCCAGACUCCUACGGGAGGCAGCAGUAGGGAAUCUUCCGCAAUGGGCGAAGGCCUGACGGAGCAACGCCGCGUGAGUGAUGAAGGUCUUCGGAUCGUAAAACUCUGUUAUUAGGGAAGAACAAAUGUGUAAGUAACUAUGCACGUCUUGACGGUACCUAAUCAGAAAGCCACGGCUAACUACGUG